rnacentral:rRNA from 1 species
ACGUGUGCGAGUAAUGGAGCAUUUACGGAAACUCAAAGGCGCAAUGAAAGUGAAGGCCAGUCCUUAGCGGCCGGCCUAGGUAGGACGGUCUUCCGUUUCCCCCUCCUUCGGGGGGGGUUGCGUGGGCAAGCACUACCGGCCCGUCUCGAUCCCACCGUGGAUGAGGCGGAGCGAGAGCACAUGCGUUGGGACCCGAAAGAUGGUGAACUAUGCCUGAGCAGGACGAAGCCAGAGGAAACUCUGGUGGAAGUCCGUAGCGCAUUCUGACGUGCAACUCGAUCGUCAAACUUUGUUAUAGGG